CUUAACACAUGCAAGUCGAGGGGCAUCAGGAAGAAAGCUUGCUUUCUUUGCUGGCGACCGGCGCACGGGUGAGUAACACGUAUCCAACCUGCCCUUUACUCGGGGAUAGCCUUUCGAAAGAAAGAUUAAUACCCGAUAGCAUAAUGAUUCCGCAUGGUUUCAUUAUUAAAGGAUUCCGGUAAAGGAUGGGGAUGCGUUCCAUUAGGUUGUUGGUGAGGUAACGGCCCACCAAGCCUUCGAUGGAUAGGGGUUCUGAGAGGAAGGUCCCCCACAUUGGAACUGAGACACGGUCCAAACUCCUACGGGAGGCAGCAGUGAGGAAUAUUGGUCAAUGGGCGCUAGCCUGAACCAGCCAAGUAGCGUGAAGGAUGAAGGCUCUAUGGGUCGUAAACUUCUUUUAUAUAAGAAUAAAGUGCAGUAUGUAUACUGUUUUGUAUGUAUUAUAUGAAUAAGGAUCGGCUAACUCCGUGCCAGCAGCCGCGGUAAUACGGAGGAUCCGAGCGUUAUCCGGAUUUAUUGGGUUUAAAGGGAGCGUAGGUGGACUGGUAAGUCAGUUGUGAAAGUUUGCGGCUCAACCGUAAAAUUGCAGUUGAUACUGUCAGUCUUGAGUACAGUAGAGGUGGGCGGAAUUCGUGGUGUAGCGGUGAAAUGCUUAGAUAUCACGAAGAACUCCGAUUGCGAAGGCAGCUCACUGGACUGCAACUGACACUGAUGCUCGAAAGUGUGGGUAUCAAACAGGAUUAGAUACCCUGGUAGUCCACACAGUAAACGAUGAAUACUCGCUGUUUGCGAUAUACAGUAAGCGGCCAAGCGAAAGCAUUAAGUAUUCCACCUGGGGAGUACGCCGGCAACGGUGAAACUCAAAGGAAUUGACGGGGGCCCGCACAAGCGGAGGAACAUGUGGUUUAAUUCGAUGAUACGCGAGGAACCUUACCCGGGCUUAAAUUGCAGUGGAAUGAUGUGGAAACAUGUCAGUGAGCAAUCACCGCUGUGAAGGUGCUGCAUGGUUGUCGUCAGCUCGUGCCGUGAGGUGUCGGCUUAAGUGCCAUAACGAGCGCAACCCUUAUCUUUAGUUACUAACAGGUUAUGCUGAGGACUCUAGAGAGACUGCCGUCGUAAGAUGUGAGGAAGGUGGGGAUGACGUCAAAUCAGCACGGCCCUUACGUCCGGGGCUACACACGUGUUACAAUGGGGGGUACAGAAGGCAGCUAGCGGGUGACCGUAUGCUAAUCCCAAAAUCCUCUCUCAGUUCGGAUCGGAGUCUGCAACCCGACUUCGUGAAGCUGGAUUCGUUAGUAAUCGCGCAUCAGCCACGGCGCGGUGAAUACGUUCCCGGGCCUUGUACACACCGCCCGUCAAGCCAUGGGAGCCGGGGGUACCUGAAGUACGUAACCGCAAGGAUCGUCCUAGGGUAAAACUGGUGACUGGGGCUA
rnacentral:rRNA from 1 species